rnacentral:rRNA from 1 species
GACGAACGCUGGCGGCGUGCCUAAUACAUGCAAGUAGAACGCUGAAGGAGGAGCUUGCUUCUCUGGAUGAGUUGCGAACGGGUGAGUAACGCGUAGGUAACCUGCCUGGUAGCGGGGGAUAACUAUUGGAAACGAUAGCUAAUACCGCAUAAGAGUAGAUGUUGCAUGACAUUUGCUUAAAAGGUGCAAUUGCAUCACUACCAGAUGGACCUGCGUUGUAUUAGCUAGUUGGUGAGGUAACGGCUCACCAAGGCAACGAUACAUAGCCGACCUGAGAGGGUGAGCGGCCACGCUGGGACUGAGACACGGCCCAGACUCCUACGGGAGGCAGCAGUAGGGAAUCUUCGGCAAUGGACGGAAGUCUGACCGAGCAACGCCGCGUGAGUGAAGAAGGUUUUCGGAUCGUAAAGCUCUGUUGUAAGAGAAGAACGAGUGUGAGAGUGGAAAGUUCACACUGUGACGGUAUCUUACCAGAAAGGGACGGCUAACUACGUG